rnacentral:rRNA from 1 species
GAUGAACGCUAGCUGCAGGCUCAACACAUGCAAGUCGCGGGGCAGCAUGGGGGUUGCUUGCAACCCCUGAUGGCGACCGGCGCACGGGUGAGUAACGCGUAUCCAACCUGCCCUUCACCACGGGAUAACCCGGCGAAAGUCGGACUAAUACCGUAUGUUGUCCAUUGACGGCAUCCGAUUUGGACGAAAGGCUUGGCGGUGAGAGGCUGGGGAUGCGUCCGAUUAGCUUGACGGCGGGGUAACGGCCCACCGUGGCUACGAUCGGUAGGGGUUCUGAGAGGAAGGUCCCCCACACUGGAACUGAGACACGGUCCAGACUCCUACGGGAGGCAGCAGUGAGGAAUAUUGGUCAAUGGGCGUAAGCCUGAACCAGCCAAGUAGCGUGCAGGAUGACGGCCCUAUGGGUUGUAAACUGCUUUUAUGCGGGGAUAAAGUGGCCCACGUGUGGGCUUUUGCAGGUACCGCAUGAAUAAGGACCGGCUAAUUCCGUG